UAAAGUGUACUGUUAGCUCGCCUGCUAAUGUUAUGUGCAUGAUCUGUGUUGUAAUAUUAUCUCAAAAAGAAAUGUCCAUUGCUAGUUAUAGCCUAAUGUUAGCUAGCUAAUUAAUAUUAAACGUAGCUGGUUAGCUUUAGCUAGCUUUGACAAUCGGUUUGUAUUGCUAGUACUCUAUGGGUUAAAGUGGUUAAUGUCCACACACAAUGUGUUAUGGUUGUGACUGGGGUUAGGGGUUACGGUUGUGACCAGGGUUAGGGGUUAUGGUUGUGACUGGGGUUAGGGGUUACGGUUGUGACCAGGGUUAGGGGUUAUGGUUGUGACCGGGGUUAGGGGUUACGGUUGUGACCGGGGUUAGGGGUUACGGUUGUGACCAGGGUUAGGGGUUACGGUUGUGACCAGGGUUAGGGGUUAUGGUUGUGACCAGGGUUAGGGGUUAUGGUUGUGACCAGGGUUAGGGGUUACGGUUGUGACCAGGGUUAGGGGUUACGGUUGUGACCAGGGUUAGGGGUUAUGGUUGUGACCAGGGUUAGGGGUUAUGGUUGUGACCAGGGUUAGAGUCAGGGGCAGGGUUAGGUGUUAUGGUUGUGACCAGGGUUAGGUGUUAAGGUUGUGACCAGGGUUAGGUGAUAUGGUUGUGACCAGGGUUAGAGUCAGGGGCAGGGUUAGGUGUUAUGGUUGUGACCAGGGUUAGGGGUUAUGGUUGUGACCAGGGUUAGGGGUUAUGGUUGUGACCAGGGUUAGGGGUUAUGGUUGUGACCAGGGUUAGGGGUUAUGGUUGUGACCAGGGUUAGGGGUUAUGGUUGUGACCAGGGUUAGGUGUUAUGGUUGUGACCAGGGUUAGAGUCAGGGGCAGGAUUAGGUGUUAUGGUUGUGACCAGGGUUAGAGUCAGGGGCAGGGUUAGGUGUUAUGGUUGUGACCAGGGUUAGGUGUUAUGGUUGUGACCAGGGUUAGGUGGUAUGGUUGUGACCAGGGUUAGAGUCAGGGGCAGGGUUAGGUGUUAUGGUUGUGACCAGGGUUAGAGUCAGGGGCAGGGUUAGGUGUUAUGGUUGUGACCAGGGUUAGGUGAUAUGGUUGUGACUGGGGUUAGGGGUUAUGGUUGUGACCAGGGUUAGGUAAUAUGGCUGUGACCAGGGUUAGAGUCAGGGGCAGGGUUAGGUGUUAUGGUUGUGACCAGGGUUAGGGGUUAUGGUUGUGACCAGGGUUAGGUAAUAUGGCUGUGACCAGGGUUAGAGUCAGGGGCAGGGUUAGGUGUUAUGGUUGUGACCAGGGUUAGGUGAUAUGGUUGUGACUGGGGUUAGGGGUUAUGGUUGUGACCAGGGUUAGGGGUUAUGGUUGUGACCAGGGUUAGGUGAUAUGGUUGUGACCAGGGUUAGGUGUUAUGGUUGUGACCAGGGUUAGAGUCAGGGGCAGGGUUAGGUGUUAUGGUUGUGACCAGGGUUAGGUGUUAUGCUUGUGACCAGGGUUAGAGACAGGGGCAGGGUUAGGUGUUAUGGUUGUGACCAGGGUUAGAGUCAGGGGCAGGGUUAGGGGUUAUGGUUGUGACCAGGGUUAGGUGUUAUGGUUGUGACCAGGGUUAGAGUCAGGGGCAGGGUUAGGUGUUAUGGUUGUGACCAGGGUUAGGUGUUAUGCUUGUGACCAGGGUUAGAGACAGGGGCAGGGUUAGGUGUUAUGGUUGUGACCAGGGUUAGAGUCAGGGGCAGGGUUAGGUGUUAUGGUUGUGACCAGGGUUAGGGGUUAUGGUUGUGACCAGGGUUAGGUGUUAUGGUUGUGACCAGGGUUAGGUGUUAUGGUUGUGACCAGGGUUAGAGUCAGGGGCAGGGUUAGGUGUUAUGGUUGUGACCAGGGUUAGGUGUUAUGCUUGUGACCAGGGUUAGAGACAGGGGCAGGGUUAGGUGUUAUGGUUGUGACCAGGGUUAGAGUCAGGGGCAGGGUGUUAGAUACUGUCGUGAGUGAAAAGCCCAGGAAGACUGUUGUUUCUGAGAUCCUGGAUCUGGCGUGCCUGGCAUGUAUGUAUGUAUGUAUGUACGUAUGUACGUAUGUAUGUAUGUAUGUAUGUAUGUAUGCAUGUAUGUAUGUAUGUAUGUGCAACAUGUAAAGUGUUCGUCUCGUGUUUCGUGAGCUGAAAUAAAUAAAAAAUCC
rnacentral:lncRNA from 1 species